CCUACUUCUUUUUUUGUCAUUUCUAAUUGACUGGCUUGGGAAGAUACACAUGCAAAAUGGGAACAAGCAACAAAACUAAUCUUUAACUAUCCAAAAGCCAAAAUGGAUGACAGCCAGGCUGCUGAAAGUUUCACAUGACCAUUGUUAGGAGUCGAAUGUCCCAUCUGAGUGGAGGAGGAUGCGCAGAUUUGUCUGACACAGACUCCCUACAGGAAUGGAUCAACAUGACUGGCUUCCUUUGUGCCCUUGGGGGAGUGUGCCUCCAGCAGAGAAGUAAUUCUGGCCUGGCAACCUAUAGCCCACCCAUGGGUCCAGUCAGUGAAUGUCAGGGUUCCAUGAUUUCAGUGAUGUCCUCAGAGGGAAACGCAGGUACACCUGUCAGCAAAUGUAUGGAUCAGCUGUUGUCCUUAAUGGUGUGUAACCAUGAGAAAGUGGGACU